rnacentral:ncRNA from 19 species
UGACGCGAUGUGGGAGAACCUCCAUGUCGAGGCGCCGUAGGAGCAAUCUCCUCCCCGAGAAUCUCUCAGGCCCAAGCACCACACCGCCGAG